rnacentral:tRNA from 1 species
GGGCGGGUAGCUCAGCUGGCUAGAGCGUCGGUCUUACACACCGGAUGUCCUGGGUUCGAGUCCCAGCUUGCCCA